GGGAUAUAAAUUUGAUUUGGAUUUUCAUAUUUUGCCAUAUGGUUCUCAAUUGGCAUUGUUUAAUCUGCUGUGGCGGCAAGCAUACUGUGCUAAAACAAGACAUAUGGAGCCCUUUUGCAGUAAAGGAAGAAAGAACAGAAGCAGAUGUCUGAACCAUUUAGGUAAGGAACCCCACUGUAGCUAAAAUACUGACCAAUGCGGCAUCCAUGGUCCCCUUGGUGCGGGAUAAGCUGAUUUCACUGAGACGAAGAACAAGCACCACCAAAGCACUGAAAAGUAAGCCUCUAGGUAGGACUUAACUUUUCUGAGAAAUUUCUUUAGACUCAUUACAGUGAAGACUCUCCUGGAGAAGUGUGAUUCUCAUGAUGAGUGAAUCCAGCUGCACGUGGGAUCGGACGCGCAGACCUGCCAGCCCAGUGAGUCGCCAUCAUGAAGGGUCCAAGUUUAGACAGCGUACUCGCAGAGUGACAAAAGACAGGGACUCCCGCUGGGCUAAAGAGGACUCAUCUCAAACUCCAAGCCACCCCACAUCCUAACUUCACCUUUUGGGCCCAUCUACAUUACCGUCACAUUGAGCUCUUUCCACGUCCCCACGUGAAAAACAGAGACAGUAGUAAGUGUACGUAACAGGGUUAAAUAAGGAUUACAUGAGAUUAUAUUUGUAAAACACUGAACACACUGUUGGCAUAUUGUAAGCCCUUGAUAUUUGUGAGACAUAUUUUUACUGUCAUCUUUGACAUACAUAAUUAUGUAUCAAGUACAAACAAACAACAUUCAAUAUUUUAAAAAAGUUUCAGCUGUUGAUACUUCCAAAUGAUUAAAAUAUGAAUGAAAUUUCAUCAAAAACUGGAGUCCUGCUAUUGUGGUAGAGGAGAUAAAAGGAGAAAAAGGAAAUUCUGUUUUGUUUUGACAAAAGACAAGGCAGUCAUUUCCAUAAAUAUUCAACAACUAACACUGAGUAUGUGAACAUUUCAAAAUGUCACUGCCUUUUAGUAAUACUUAUACUCAUUUAUUGUAUAGCACUAACUUUUCAAGGAGCCCUGUUUGCCNNNNNNNNNNNNNNNN
rnacentral:lncRNA from 1 species